CCUACGGGAGGCAGCAGUAAGGAAUAUUGGACAAUGCUCGCAAGAGUGAUCCAGCCAUGCCGCGUGCAGGAAGAAUGCCCUAUGGGUAGUAAACUGCUUUUGAACUAGAGAAAACCCCAGUACGUGUACUGGGCUGAUAGUAUAGUUAGAAUAAGCAUCGGCUAACUUCGUGCCAGCAGCCGCGGUAAGACGAAGGAUGCAAGCGUUAUCCGGAUUCAUUGGGUUUAAAGGGAGCGUAGGUGGACUGAUAAGUCAGUGGUGAAAUCUCCGAGCUUAACUCGGAAAUUGCCAUUGAUACUGUUGGUCUUGAGUACAGUUGCUGUGGGCGGAAUAUGACAUGUAGUGGUGAAAUACAUAGAGAUGUCAUAGAACACCGAUUGCGAAGGCAGCUCACAAAGCUGUAACUGACACUGAGGCUCGAAAGUGCGGGGAUCAAACAGGAUUAGAUACCCUGGUAGUCCGCACCGUAAACGAUGAUUACUCGCUGCUAGGGGGCAACCUUUAGUGGCUUAGCGAAAGCGAUAAGUAAUCCACCUGGGGAGUACGCCGGCAACGGUGAAACUCAAAGGAAUUGACGGCUUGAGGAGNGCGACGGACGACACGAGGGAGGAGG
rnacentral:rRNA from 1 species